ACUUGGGUUAAUCUGGAGGACAUCAUGCUAGGGGAAAUAAGCCAGACAGAGAAGGACAAAUACUAGAGAAUGCCACUUACACGAGGAAUCUAAAAUAGCCAAGCUCAGGGAAGAAGAGAGUAGGUGGCGGCUGCCGGGGGCUGAGCAAAGUGGAAAUGGAGAGGUAUUAGUCAAAGGGCACAGAGUCUCAGUUACUCAAGGUGCAUAAGUCCCAGAGACCUGCUGCACAGCCUCUGGCAAUACUGCCUGGCUGUGAUCUUUGCUCAGAGGGUAAAUCUUAAGUAUUCUUAUCACACGCACACACACACACACAAAAUGGUAAAUAAAAAGGGCAGAGGAAACUUUUGGAGGCGACAGAUAUGUUUAUGGCGUAGAUUGUGGUGACGGUUUCACAGAUGUGUGCAUAUCUACAAAGUCAUCAAAUUAUAUGUGUUAAAUAUGUACAGCUUCUGUUUGUCAAUUAUACCUCAAUAAUGUGGUUUAAAAAUAAGUAAGAGUGGGUGGAGAGAAAACUGCCUUGGUCUAGAAGCUUCCGCAGGCUCAUGGACAAGGCAACUGGGCCACUUUUACAAUCCAUGUCGAGUGAGCAAAGCUGGCAUAGGAUGAUACAAACUGUCAUUUUAACUAUAUUAAAAAAUGGAUAGAAUACAAAGUACAAGAGGAAACAUAAAAAUAUUACAGUGAUUACCCCCAGGCAGUGGGAUUACAGAUGGUUUUUACUUGUUUUUCUUAAGCUUUCCUGUAUUUUUUUCACACAAGACAAACAAUAGAGGUGAUUUCAGAAUCUGAAUUUGUGCCAGUCAUACUGAUUAGUUGCAGACGACAGAAUCCACUCUUUCUGGGUUGAGCAGAGGGGAAUCUGUUCAUGGGUGCUAGGACUGAGAUGCCAGGAUGACCAGGGGACCAAGCUUGGAUGCCCCAUGGCCAGGGACAACACUAACAAUCACUAAGCCCGCCCAGGCCUGUUGCCGUGGAAACCCCACUGCCUGUGAUGCUCGGGCCCAGACCCUGGAGCAUGCUGCUGUGGGAGAACCAGACCCUCUGUUCCCUGCCAGCUGGGAGCCCCAUCCUCCACCACCUUGGGGGGCUCACUUCCACCUUUUAAGUCUCAGGCUGGCAUCUGUCCAGAGGAGCUGAGGCCACUGGCAGAACCCCUAGCUGCAAGGGAGUCAAGGAACUGUAGAUUUCAGUUUUUCCAGAGACUUCCAUGUGGCCAAGCACAGAAGGAGGGGCUGGCACACGUGUUGAGUGAGUCAGCCUGCAGGGUCCACUGGAGAAGUGAAAUAAGAAUGACAAAAAUGAUCACUUGCACCCUUGACCUUCUGAAGGCCACGUGAAGGCUCAGUUAUCCGUUGUGUUACAGUGAGGACAGCAGGAGGCUCUCUCUUGGUCCCGGGAGCACUGGCUCUCAGAGCCCCUCACCCCAGCCUCUGCAGUGCACGCUGGCCUGACUUCCACCCAACAGCACUUCUCUGCCUGGGGACUUUCCUUACUGCUGGAGACUCCUUAGCCCCCUGGGUGACAGGCUCAUAUGUGGAGACUUGCUGUCCCCCAGGACACCUUCAGCCGCUACCCCAGCUGCCUUACCCCUUAGUUGAGAGAGCUCUGAACAGUGUGCUCUGCCCCAGCUGCCAGGGCUCCCUGGAGGACCAGGCUCCUGUUGCCCCCAGUGGUGGGUGUCCAGAGUGGGGCACAGUGGUGGGCAGCUUGGUAGUAGCCGUUGCUAGCCACCAUCUCUUCCCUCCCUUCCUGACCCUCCUGCCUUCGUCUCCCAGAUAAACUCCUGCUCCAGAAUCCUUCUCUCCAUGUCUGUCUGGCAUCGCAAAAGCUGAGGUAUCCAUGGCCUAAGCAUGUGCGCAUGGAAAGCCUCAUCCUGGCUCUGGAAGUCCUGCUGGGGACAGUCCUCUGGGCCGUGAGUUAACAGGUGUGAGGCUGCUUCUGUGACCUCAUACCUGUACAUUCCAGUUUGGAAGGUCGUCCUGUUCCUGGUUCUCAUCCUCAUGGGCAGGAAACCCCUUGGGUCCAGGACACUCAACUGCACGAUGCCCCACCCCUGCUGAGGCCAGGACCACGUGUGCACACAGGCAUCAUCCACCCCAGGGUUCUGCCCGGCCCCUCUCCGCCUCUCCUCCCUAUGUCAUUCAGUGCUCCCUCUGCCCUAGGACUGGCGAUGAUGCUCCAUGGCGUUCAAGGGCAUCCUCUGAAUGUGCCGUCCUUGGUUUAAAUGGGACUCUGCUGUGUGUUGCUGUUAGCAUGUGAGGUUGGAGCCAGCUUUGUCCUGGGUUCACACAACAAACAUUCCCCUGGAGCCUGCUCUGCUCGGUGCCCGAGGAUGCUGACUGUGGGGCUUGGAGAUGCGUCCUCUACUACAGAGACAUGGGACAUCCCAGAACCAUGAGGCUCCUGGUUUGCUGCAUUGCUGCACCUCGGCCAUUUCUCAAGGAGCCUCUGUGUUGUCUUGGCACUGGGGACCCUACGGUGAACCUAACAAAUCUCUUGUCCUCACCGGGGCUUCCUUCUAACAAGGAAGGCAGAGACCGUAACCAGAGGGCAAGGAGACAGCACAAGUUUCUGCCGGCCAUUCCCGUCAUCUGUCACCUGCCCGUGCAGGGGGCUGUGUGGCAGGCACCGAUGCCCACUCGGAAUCGCUGGACAGGAGUCCAGUGCCCUUCCAGAACAAGAGCUUUCCAUUCAGGCAGCUGGAACACGCAUCCUGGGAAGUCCCUGCUUUGGGGCUUAUGUGCUGCUGGCGAGAGCACGGGGAGAUGGGCGCUGCCAGGGGAGGCUGGCAGUCCACCUGUGACAACGGGCCUGGGUGUUCGAGGAGCAAAGUGGGGACUCUCUCCCCCUUUUAAAAAAUGAUAACCCAUCACUUUUGUGAACAACAGCUCAUUUUUUCCAUUUAAAAGUUGUGACAUGCACUCAGAAGACACAAUAAAAUAUAUACUCAUUCAUGUGUGUGUGUGUGUGCGUGUGUACAGUUUAAAGAUCCAUGUAGCCGUCUGCAUUCUCCACCCACCUCAGUGAAUAGGACAUUUGCAGCCACCCAGGAGCGCUCGUGGCUCUCCUGAUGCCAGCCCCUCUCCUGGGGUGACCGGUGCCCUGACUUUGGUGACAGUUGUGUCCUUGUUUGGCCUCAUACUCUCCCUCCCCGGGGGACACCCUCAGAAGAGGCGUGGUGUUUUGCCCAUUUUUCUUCGUUCAUGUACAUUGUAGUGUGCGCCCUCUUUGGGGACUGGUUGCCUGGGCGGCUCACUUGGCCGCUGGGGGCAGCCAGGGCGCAUGUGUUCCUGUGGCUGUUUGGUGUCCCUUGUGUGGACAGGCCACUUUCAUCCACUGUCCCUUUGAGACACACGCACCCAUUCCAGCUCGGAGCUCCGGGAGCACACCACCCCAGGCCGUGUCCCACACUUCACUGGUAUUUACCCCUGGGAGCAGAACUUGGGGGUCAAAGGUGCUCUGACCUUGCUGGGCAGGCCGCUCUCUUUUCUGAAACAGAGCACUUGUGUGUGCCAGGUCCCGUGCUGAGCCCAGGGAGGGGCAGAGCCUCCAGGAGAGUCUGCAGACCGGCCUGUGUGGGGGGGCGGGGGGUGGCUGCUGCUCAGAGAGGGAUGGACUGGGGGAGGCCUGGCCCAGUGUGUGGAGGGCGGUCAGCCAUGCCCCCCGCGUUAGAGAGGCAGUUACUGAGAGUGACCGAUGGCCGAGGGGAGUGACAAUGGCAGAUGUUAACUGCGUGGAUGUUCCAGGCAGGAGCAGGGUGGGCAGGGGCUUUGAGGCUGGGGGCCUCUGUCAGCUCAGCGGCCACAACAGAGGGCCACAGCGGGGCCGCGUGAACAACACAGGUUCACUUUCCCACAGCUCUGGACCCUGCAAGUCCCAGUCGGCAUCUGGCAGGGUGGGUUCCUGGGGGCCCCUCCUCCUGGCUGGCGCUUCUCCCCCGUCCUCGUCCUCGUGUGGCAGAGAGAGAGCUGUCGUGUCCCUUCCUCUGGUCAGGGCACUGGUCCUACUGAGUUCGGGCCCCAGCCUCAUGGCCUCAUUUAGCCUUUACACCUCCUCACAGGCCCUGUCUCCAGACACAGCCACACUGGGGCUUAGGGCUCCUACCUAGGAAUUGGAGGGGGACCACAGACGUUCAGUCAGGAACGGGGCGAGGGGAAUUUGAGGAACGAGUGUGCAUAGAGCAAGGGCUUGAGAGGGUGGUUUGGUUAUCUGUCCUUGUGGAAUAAACCCGCCCUAAACUUAGUGGUUUAAAAGGAGAAUCAUCGUUUACCCAAGACUUCACAGUUGGGCAGGGCCCAGGGGGGACAGCCCCUCUCCACCCUCUGUGACACGAGCUGAGGCCUUGCUCACAAUGCUGACAAGUUGGUGCUGGCGGACAGCUGGGAGCUCGGUGGGGCUGAUGGCCAGAGACCGAUGGCCAGGGGCCUUGGUCCUCCUCCAUGUGGCCGCAUGGGCUUCCUCACAGUGUGGUGGCUGGUUUCUAAGAGUGAGAAAGUGAAAGUUGCCGGUACUUUCCAGGGUUGGAUCUGAACCUGGCAGGAGUGCCAUUCCUGCCAUCGAAGAAGUCACAGCGUCCAGGUACAGCUACUGGCCAUUCAUAUCACAGACCUCGUCUUUUUUUUUUUUUUUGAAUAAAAAUGAUGUAUAAGGCAUAUAACGUGUUUCGGCAUACAGAUCCAUAGUGAAGUGGUUGCUGCGAUAAAGCUAAUUAACACGUCCGUCUCCUCACAUCUCUCUUCUUUUCAUGCUGCAAGCACCUGAAGUCUAUGCUUAGCAAAUUUCCAGCAUAUGAGAAGAUGUGGUUAACUCUAGUCGUUGUGCUGCACAUUUAAUCUCCAGACUUAUGUACCCUCCCUAACGGCCGUGUGUGCCCUUUGACCUCGCUCCCCCAUUUCCCCCACCCAGCCCUACUGAUCACACAGACCUCGUCUUCUCUCGGCCACGUGCUGCAGGAAAUGUGCCCCCUUUUAUGUUGGGCAUCACCUCCUGGGCUAUAGAUCUUCAUGUCCUUGAAGCACACAUUGGCCAGCUCUUUCCCCAAAUCGUUAAGACACGGGGCAGGAGCACACCAAAGCUGUGAAAGUCAGGGCCCGCUGUCCCAAAUGCCACCAUCUGUGGCUCGUUCCUCUGUGGCCAGUGCACAGGACUCUCCAUGGCUGGAGUUGCAGUCGAGUGUGUUUUUUCUGGAGUGGGGUCCAUGGCUUUGAUCAGAUGCUCUGAUGUCACCCAGAGAAGGGGUGCCGUGAUCGUGACCACGGAUCUGAUCAGACACCCUUCAGAGAAGACAUAGAGCAUCGUAUGACCGCUCCCCACCCGCCACUCAGCAGGAGCCCAGUAGUGCAUGCAUCCAAAUUCACUCACUCUUGUGUUUUUUCAACUUUUUCUUGUGGAAAAUUUCAGAUAUUCACAAAAGUAGGCAAAACAGUAUAAUGACCACCCCCUCCCCAUGUGCCCAACUUCAACAAUUAUCAGCUCAUAGCUAAUCUUAUCUAUCCCCCUUCCUCCUUUCCCCUUUCAUUUUUUCUUCAACUUUUUUAAAGACUAGAGCACACCCUGAAGACUGCUUAUGUCCUAAGUGUGCACAGAGUGAGUUUUCACUCUGUGAGCUCACCUGGUAAAGAUUCUGGUACCCAAUUCUGACAUGUGUUUGCGGGGGAAGUGUUCCUACAUCACCAAGCAAUUCGCUGACACUUGAAAAUUCCCUGACAAUUCCACUCAAUUCUGACCCUCUCUGCUGGAGCCAGCAUCAGAUGCCACAGG